rnacentral:lncRNA from 1 species
GCUGUAGUCGCCAGCCUAUGCCACAGGUCACAGCAACGCUGGAUGCUUACCCCGCUGAGCCAGGCCAGGGAAGGAACCCGCAUUCUCGUGGAUACUAGGUUGUUUAGGGCAUAAAGCAGAGAAUACAGCGCAUUCACGUUCCUCCCAGGGGAACUUCAGGAAGUGUUUACUGCAGUAGUGCGCCUGCGCAGUUGUUCUCCACCAAAUCGCCCGCUUUCCCCCAUCCGGCUAGCAGGGGGCGCUGUGAGACCCCGCCUGUGGGCCGCCGACCGCGACCAUGGUCUCCAAGUCCGACCAACUGCUCAUCGUCGUGUCCAUCCUCGAAGGU